AGUGAGAGUAAUGGCCCCGUCUGUCCGACUCGCCCGACUCGCCCGACUCGCCCGACUCGCCCUGCUGGUGCUGCUCCUGGGGGCGGUGGGGUCGGGAGCGGAGGAGCCUGAGGGUGCAGUAACUCAGGACAAGGACACUCUGUGCAGAAGUACCGGGGGGCUGUGCCUGCCAAGCUGCCCCCCAAUACUCUUCCCUCGGGGAUUCUGUAAGAAUGGGCCCUGCUGCUCUCCACUCCUGGCCUAACUCAUCUGUGUCCCCUGGAGGUUGUAUAAACCCUUGUGGCUUGGGAACCAUCUGUGCCCUGGGGCUACAAACCAUAACCUCAUGGCUACCAUCAUCUCCAGAGACUUCAGUAAUAUAGUGGCCUCAUCAAGCUUGAGGACCAUCAUCUUCCCACAGGAAGAGACCUGAGUACCAUCAUCUUCCCACAGGAGAGACCUGAGUACCAUCAUCUUCCCACAGGAGAGACCUGAGUACCAUCAUCUUCCCACAGGAGAGACCUGAGUACCAUCAUCUUCCCACAGGAGAGACCUGAGUACCAUCAUCUUCCCACAGGAGAGACCUGAGUACCAUCAUCUUCCCACAGGAGAGACCUGAGUCCCAUCAUCUUCCCACAGGAGAGACCUGAGUCCCAUCAUCUUCCCACAGGAGAGACCUGAGUCCCAUCAUCUUCCCACAGGAGAGACCUGAGUCCCAUCAUCUUCCCACAGGAGAGACCUGAGUACCAUCAUCUUCCCACAGGAGAGACCUGAGUCCCAUCAUCUUCCCACAGGAGAGACCUGAGUCCCAUCAUCUUCCCACAGGAGAGACCUGAGUCCCAUCUUCUUCCCACAGGAGAGACCUGAGUCCCAUCAUCUUCCCACAGGAGAGACCUGAGUCCCAUCAUCUUCCCACAGGAGAGACCUGAGUCCCAUCAUCUUCCCACAGGAGAGACCUGAGUCCCAUCAUCUUCCCACAGGAGAGACCUGAGUACCAUCAUCUUCCCACAGGAGAGACCUGAGUCCCAUCAUCUUCCCACAGGAGAGACCUGAGUCCCAUCAUCUUCCCACAGGAGAGACCUGAGUCCCAUCUUCUUCCCACAGGAGAGACCUGAGUCCCAUCAUCUUCCCACAGGCGAGACCUGAGUCCCAUCAUCUUCCCACAGGAGAGACUGGCAUCCCAUGAACUUCCCACAGGAGGAGACCUGAGUACCAAUUGGCCACAGUCACCCCAUGAUUAUUUCUUUAGGUACCAUAACCUUCAUCUCCCUGUCCUGCAUGCUGUCACCUGUGAGGCUUGAACUCCAUUAUCUCCCAAAUUUUUUGGUACCAUGAAUCUUCCAGGCCUGCAGUGGGUACCCUCGGGCUUGCAGUGGGUACCCUCGGGGCUGCAGUGGGUACCCUCGGGGCUGCAGUGGGUACCCUCGGGGCUUGCAGUGGGUGCCCUCAGGGCUGCAGUGGGUACCCUCGGGGCCUGCAGUGGGUACCCUCGGGCUUGCAGUGGGUACCCUCGGGGCUGCAGUGGGUACCCUCGGGGCUGCAGUGGGUACCCUCGGGGCUUGCAGUGGGUGCCCUCAGGGCUGCAGUGGGUACCCUCGGGGCUUGCAGCGGGUGCCCUCGGGCUUGCAGCGGGUGCCCUCGGGCUUGCAGUGGGUGCCCUCGGGCUUUGUAACUAUUUUCCAUGGGCCCAAGAUGGUUUACAUUGGUUUCUGCUCAUCUGGGGGGUUGAACCCUUGACACCUCGGCAGUGGUUUGUGCCAUUGGAUAUAAACAGUUUGAAAUUAACCAUUUAGUCUCCCCUUUCUCUGAUACCAACACUAUGGGAUGUACCAAGCUGAUCAUAAGGGGGGGGUUCUGCUUUGGUCUUAAAUAAAAAGACUUUCUGUGCUGAUGGGGA